AAGGGAGGUCCUUGGUGUGUGUGUGUCUUGCCGGUGGAUCCCUUACUUGAUGGGAGGGGAAAGUGGGGCUUAUCCAACCAGAACGUGCCUGCUUACUGCAUGCUUGAUCAUCCUCUCCCCCUCCUCCAGCAUGUAAAUCCACCACAAAGGAGCUGAAGUUCAAAUGGGGCUGUUUGAGCUUCGCUUGAAGUGAUGGAUUGAAAGCUCAUAACUUAAACACGGAAGAGCCGGUGCUCCUGAAACACACGUCAAGAGCUGCAGCCUAUUGUUCCGGAGCGCCUACAUAGCAUGGGAGCCAACGGCUUGCUUGCCGUCGGCAAUCAGAUUAAAGGCUCAAGAAUUUAAACAAUAAGGAAGUCAGAAGACCCCAGUAGCCAUCUGUUGUUCUCCUUCUAAACGCGGGACCAAAGGCAUGCACUUCUCACGCAGUAGACGCUAGGCAGUCUGCACCACAGAUGAAUGUGUUUAUUUGGCAUCAGUGAUGUCAUUAUUUCUAUGGAUGAACCUAUCAGCGAAUCCUUGAUUUAAAAACAAAGCAAGAUGCACAUUUGAAGCUUGAAGAAAGAAGCCCAAAGGAAAUAGGGUAAUACAAAGCAUUCCGAUAAGGCAAUUCAGACAUAAGGACAAUGAAGGCAGCAUUGUGCUUGCUGCUGAUGGCCGCUGUGGGAAUUGACGCUCAGAAGUCUGAAGAUCUUGAAGGCGGCGUUGUGGGAGAGGCACCAGAGUUCAUCUACAGAAAUAGAUAUAAACGCUCCAGUGAUGCCCAGGACAAAUGUACUUAUACUUUUAUUGUACCUCAGCAGAAAGUAACAGGUGCCAUUUGUGUUAAUUCAAAAGAACCCGACACUGUGCUUGAAAACAGGGUAAAUAAGCAAGAAGUAGAGCUACUCAGCAAUGAGCUGUUGAAGCAAAAGAGACAAAUAGAAACCCUUCAGCAGCUGGUGGAAGUAGACGGAGGAAUUGUUAACGAGGUGAAGCUCCUACGAAAGGAGAGCCGCAACAUGAACUCACGAGUCACACAGUUGUACAUGCAGCUGCUGCAUGAAAUCAUCCGCAAACGGGACAACGCGCUGGAACUUUCCCAGCUGGAAAACAGGAUCCUGAAUCAAACGGCUGAUAUGUUGCAGCUUGCAAACAGAUUCAAAGAUCUGGAGCAUAAAUACCAGCAUUUGGUAUCCAUUGCAAACAAUCAGUCUGUCAUCAUUGCACAGUUAGAAGAGCACUGUCAACGAACGCCAGCCGUUAGACCAGGCCUGCAGCCUCCGCUGCCACCAGACCGGAUCUACCAGCCGCCCACGUACAACCGAAUCACAAACCAAAUAGCGACCAAUGAAAUUCAGAGUGACCAGAACUUAAAGCUUCUACCACCAGCUCUCCCAACCAUGCCACCAGUUACCAGCAUUCCAACUUCUACUGACAAGCCCUCAGGUCCUUGGAGAGACUGUUUACAAGCCUUAGAAGAUGGCCACGGCACCAGUUCCAUAUAUCUUGUAAAGCCUGAAAACACAAACCGGCUGAUGCAAGUCUGGUGCGAUCAACGACAAGAUCCUGGUGGCUGGACAGUUAUUCAAAGACGUUUGGACGGAUCAGUAAAUUUUUUCAGGAACUGGGAAAUGUAUAAGCAAGGAUUUGGUAACAUCGAUGGAGAGUAUUGGCUGGGGUUAGAAAACAUUUACUGGCUGACAAAUCAAGGCAACUACAAAUUGCUGAUAACCAUGGAAGACUGGUCAGGACGUACAGUUUUUGCUGAAUAUGCCAGCUUCCGCCUGGAGCCAGAAAGUGAAUUCUACAAGUUGCGAUUGGGCCGAUACAACGGCAAUGCUGGAGAUUCCUUUACGUGGCACAAUGGAAAGCAAUUCACUACACUGGAUAGAGACCAUGAUGUAUACACAGGUAACUGCGCACAUUACCAGAAAGGGGGAUGGUGGUACAACGCGUGCGCCCACUCAAACCUCAAUGGCGUCUGGUACCGAGGAGGUCAUUACCGAAGUCGAUAUCAAGAUGGAGUUUAUUGGGCAGAGUUCCGGGGGGGAUCCUAUUCCCUGAAAAAAGUGGUUAUGAUGAUCAGACCUAACCCUAACACAUUCCACUGAAAGGAAUACAGCCUUCUCAAGAGACAAAAUAAAAAGGUGCCAAUAGUUACGUGUGUUUUCCAGAACACACCUUCUCAGCAACAGAGAAUGUCAUGUAUUGCACAUGGACUGCUAUACAAGGAGACCUGUAUAUCGUACUGCUCCAGAAUCAUUCUAGAAGCAAAAUAAGAAGCAUUUCAGAUCAUCACUCUUUAAAGAAAGAAAGAAAGAAAGAAAAAAACACACACAUUCAGAGGAAACAGACUGUAGAUAAACUGAGAUGCGAGGAAUACUGCCACAUCAUCUAAAUACUUCGUAUGGUAUAUACUCUCAAAUCCUGCACAUACUCAAAACUGUACAGUAAAUAAUAGAUUCAUUUGACACAGGAAAUUAUAUCCUUUGAAACUAUGUA